rnacentral:lncRNA from 1 species
AAUUUAUAAUUAUUAAAUUAAACCAAUGCAAUAGAAAAAGCACAAUCAACAGAACAAGGACAUGAGAACUCACCAGACCCUGAAAUGCCUUUUGGAUCAAGCACGAAGACUAAUAAAAACUGAAUCUUUAUGAGAACUUUUACCACAUAAAUUCUUGUCGACCUCAAAGAAAAUUUUCAAACAAAGGGAAAAUAAAUUAGUGUAUAGCAAAUGCAAAAGUAGGACAAAAAUCUUCACAAUUCAAAACUAAAAGGACAGUAUUUGUUUCCACAAUCCAAAAUUUAUCUGAUUUUCAUUCCCUUUAAAUUUCCAGAUUCAACUAAUCUUUUUAGUUCAUUUUCUUAUAGGUGGGCUUCAUGCUAGAGUUACUAUAAAGGGGGUUGACUUUCUAUAUUCUUGUGAGAGUGAUCUGUCUUCCAGCCUGUAAUGAGCCAAGUGAAGAAGCUGGAGGUUUCUGUUUUACUCUUGGGUCAGAAAAAGCCCACUUCUCUACUUACCUGGUACUGAAUAUAUAUUCUCCAUUCACAUUUAGUAAGAAAAAUUACAAUCAGAAAAACACUAAUUUUUAAUUUUAAACUCUUCAUUUUUUACAUGAUGGACUUUUCAUUUAAUUUUGCAACUCUACCACUACAGUCAGUGUGGGCCGAGCAGUGAAGAGGAAUUUGUGGAACAAUGCAUUAACAUAUUGGAUUGAUUGAUAAUUGGAGUAAGGAAGCAAAUCAAAGGCAUGGAAGAAUUCCUUAUAAGCACUAGAUGGCAGAAAAUUUGAAGGACAAAACAAGUAGAAGCCAGUAAAACAUGCGAAAGCAGACAAAGCAUGUUAUCAAAUAUAAAAACAGAAUAUAACUGUUAGCCUAAGUAAAAUCCCUUUAUGCAAAUGAAGAUCAGCACUACAAAAAAUCAUGUUUUCUGGUCAGAUAAUAAUGUAUAAGACUAUAUUUUGACACAAUAAGUAAAAUCUAAGAGUCUAAUUUCUCUGUCGGCACAGGUUUAAUAGUAUACAACCUUCUCUCGAACUUAAAGUCUUUUUCAGAUACAUAUCUAGUUUAGUUGAAAUAUCAAACACGAGGAAUCCAAUUUUUGAUAAUCCAAUGUGUAAUAAAAAUAGGUGGAGUAGGAAAAUUGGUUCAUACGCAAGUAGUUUACAAGGAAAUUUCUAAGAGGGACCAGGGAAGUCCAGGGACAUUUCAAAGAAACUAUUAAAUGCCCAACUGAAAAAUGAAAAAUCAUUGGAAUCAUUUUCUUCUAAUAAAGUUGUAAAAUUUCGGUCGAAUAAUGAUGAGAAUAGUACAUUGGAUUUACUUCCAUCGCUGCAUGUACUCAUAUCUAAUUCAACAAGUAUGAGGCCUAUUCACAUUGUAUCUAUCAAUGGAAAAUAAGGGUAUAAACUUACCAUUUUUUUUUAAAUUAGGAAGAAACAAAAAAGGGAAAGCGGAUGCAGACCUGGAUGCUCAAGAAGAACCCAACAGAUUUUGUAUGUCUUUCUGUAGAAUGAGAAGGAAGAGAAAUCACAAAGAAGCUUACCUUUUCGCCUGAGAAUCUUACGGAGCAGCAACAUACGACUUCGAAUUUCAGAGUUAUGCAGCAAAAAUCUUGCAAUUUUGAUCUAAUUUUCAUACAAUAAUCCUAGAUUCACGCCCGAUUUUUGUAUUUAAAGAAAAAAAAUCACAUUGUUGAAGGAGUGAAGGAGUCUGAUAGAGAGGAGAGAAAGUGAGUUGUUGCCCUAAUCGUUCGAAUAAUCCGUCUUUUAGACGGAAUUUUUGCGACGACAAUAGCGAUGGAUCAAAUUUUGUCGCUAAUAAUAACUAAUGAAAAUUUACUUUAAUGGAACUAGAUAUUAUCAACGGAAAUAGCGACGGACCAAAUUUCUGUUGCUACUAUCAUCUAAUGAAGCUUUA